GGAGCUUAUUUACAACUGAACAAUUGUAUGAAGCACUGAAAAAUUUCAAAUAGUAUUUCACAUAAUUUCAUUUCACUCAUUUGGUCACACAUUUUUCAAUAUGCUAAAAAUUCUAUCAGUGCCGGCUUUUGAGACAUGACUUGAUGUACAAUAUUGAAACCCUUUCAACAGUUGUCAACUCAAAAGUUAACAUGACAUAUACUGACUGUAUGAAUAACGUAGUCAAAUGACUAUUCCGGCCUUUGUGGGCCUAUUAUAAAGGGAAUUGCUUUGUUCACAUACCAAUUAUGUUUCUGUACAUAUAAAAUAGUUUUCUCUUUUUAAAGGUAUUUAUUGGGGCGCCUGGGUGGCGCAGUCGGUUAAGCGUCCGACUUCAGCCAGGUCACGAUCUCGCGGUCCGUGAGUUCGAGCCCCGCGUCAGGCUCUGGGCUGAUGGCUCGGAGCCUGGAGCCUGUUUCCGAUUCUGUGUCUCCCUCUCUCUCUGCCCCUCCCCCGUUCAUGCUCUGUCUCUCUCCCAAAAAUAAGUAAACGUUGAAAAAAAAAUUAAAAAAAAAAAGGUAUUUAUUUACUUAUUUAUGAGACAGAACAAGGGUGAGCGGGGGAGGGGCAGAGGGUGAGCGAGAAUCCCAAGCAGGCUCCAAGCUGUUAGCACAGAGUCCAACGCGGGGCUCAGUCUCACAAACCUUGAGAUCAUGACCUGAGCCGAAGGCAAGAGUCAGCCGCUUAACCGACUGAGCCAUCCAGGCGCCCCAUAAAAUAUUUUUCUAAUUAAAAACUUCUAUGAAAAAAUAGACACCUGGCUAUUUCUCUUCCAGACCUUCCGAAAUGAGGAUUCACUUAAGCUGCCUCCCUGGUUCCUCUACUCCGUGCAGGCCAUGUCCUACCCCAGCUUUCAAGCCGUCAUACCUGUACCUCAGAGAGAAAAAAGAGCCAGAGGAGAGAAAAUGUGCCCCACCCUCUCUGAGUCCUCGGUCAGGAAAAGGUUGUUUUCAGAAGGAAAGAAUGAAGAGGAAGAGGAAACAUCCCUUUUUGCUGCAGCUACGACCGGCUUUCGCUCCCGGGGGUGAGGCAGGCUGAUGGCCACUGGGUGCUGUCCAGGGAGCCCCCUGGGUUCUCAGUCCUACCCCCUCACCAGCGCAAGUGCCCCUGCUAACAAGUCAACAAAAAAAUAAGUCUUCCAAAAAAAUAAUAAGUCUUCCCCUUGUUUGCUUUGAGUUUUUUUUUUCUUUUUUAAAAACUGCACCUCUCAUCAAGUCUGAAUUAUUUAAAAGAAGACAAUAAAGAACUGAGCAUUGCAACUUUGGCUCCGUUG
rnacentral:lncRNA from 1 species